UAGAGUUUGAUCCUGGCUCAGGACGAACGCUGGCGGCGUGCUUAACACAUGCAAGUCGAACGGGGCUUUUAUUUCGGUAAGAGCCUAGUGGCAAACGGGUGAGUAACGCGUAGGCAACCUACCUUCAAGAUGGGGACAACAUUCCGAAAGGGGUGCUAAUACCGAAUGUUAUAAAAGCUUUGCAUGAAGCUUUUAUCAAAGAUGGCUUUGGCUAUUACUUGGAGAUGGGCCUGCGUCUGAUUAGCUAGUUGGUGACGGUAACGGCGCACCAAGGCGACGAUCAGUAGCCGGUCUGAGAGGAUGGACGGCCACAUUGGGACUGAGACACGGCCCAGACUCCUACGGGAGGCAGCAGUGGGGAAUCUUCCGCAAUGGGCGAAAGCCUGACGGAGCAACGCCGCGUGAACGAGGAAGGUCUUCGGAUCGUAAAGCUCUGUUGCAAGGGACGAAUGGCAAUAUCGCUAAUAUCGGUAAUGCAUGACGGUACCUUGUUAGAAAGCCACGGCUAACUACGUGCCAGCAGCCGCGGUAAUACGUAGGCGGCAAGCGUUGUCCGGAAUCAUUGGGCGUAAAGGGAGCGCAGGCGGAUAGUUAAGUGGA
rnacentral:rRNA from 1 species